AAAAUCCGUUGGAUUUAUUAACCAUGAGGGUUCAAGUCCCUCUACCCCCA
rnacentral:tRNA from 1 species